UGGGGAAUUUUGGACAAUGAGGGCAACCCUGAUCCAGCAAUGCCGCGUGUGUGAAGAAGGCCUUCGGGUUGUAAAGCACUUUUGUCCGGGAAGAAAUCGCACCUGAUAAUACCGGGUGUGGAUGACGGUACCGGAAGAAUAAGGACCGGCUAACUACGUGCCAGCAGCCGCGGUAAUACGUAGGGUCCAAGCGUUAAUCGGAAUUACUGGGCGUAAAGCGUGCGCAGGCGGUUGUGCAAGACCGAUGUGAAAUCCCCGGGCUUAACCUGGGAAUGGCAUUGGUGACUGCACAGCUAGAGUGUGUCAGAGGGGGGUAGAAUUCCACGGGUAGCAGUGAAAUGCGUAGAGAUGAGGAGGAAGACCGAUGGCGAAGGCAGCCCCCUGGGAUAACACUGACGGUCACGCACGAAAGCGUGGGGAGCAAACAGG
rnacentral:rRNA from 1 species